rnacentral:rRNA from 1 species
AGUGAACGCUGGCGGUAGGCCUAACACAUGCAAGUCGAACGGCAGCACAGUAAGAGCUUGCUCUUACGGGUGGCGAGUGGCGGACGGGUGAGGAAUACAUCGGAAUCUACUUUUUCGUGGGGGAUAACGUAGGGAAACUUACGCUAAUACCGCAUACGACCUACGGGUGAAAGCAGGGGAUCUUCGGACCUUGCGCGAUUGAAUGAGCCGAUGUCGGAUUAGCUAGUUGGCGGGGUAAAGGCCCACCAAGGCGACGAUCCGUAGCUGGUCUGAGAGGAUGAUCAGCGAGAAUGGAACAGAGACACGGUCCAGACUCCUACGGGAGGCAGCAGUGGGGAAUAUUGGACAAUGGGCGCAAGCCUGAUCCAGCCAUACCGCGUGAGUGAAGAAGGCCUUCGGGUUGUAAAGCCCUUUUGUUGGGAAAGAAAAGCAGCAGGUUAAUACCCCGCUGUUCUGACGGUACCCAAAGAAUAAGCACCGGCUAACUUCGUG